rnacentral:rRNA from 1 species
UGGGGAAUAUUGCACAAUGGGCGCAAGCCUGAUGCAGCCAUGCCGCGUGUAUGAAGAAGGCCUUCGGGUUGUAAAGUACUUUCAGCGGGGAGGAAGUUGUUGAGGCUAAUAACCUCAGCAAUUGACGUUACCCGCAGAAGAAGCACCGGCUAACUCCGUGCCAGCAGCCGCGGUAAUACGGAGGGUGCAAGCGUUAAUCGGAAUUACUGGGCGUAAAGCGCACGCAGGCGGUCUGUCAAGUCGGAUGUGAAAUCCCCGGGCUCAACCUGGGAACUGCAUUCGAAACUGGCAGGCUAGAGUCUUGUAGAGGGGGGUAGAAUUCCAGGUGUAGCGGUGAAAUGCGUAGAGAUCUGGAGGAAUACCGGUGGCGAAGGCGGCCCCCUGGACAAAGACUGACGCUCAGGUGCGAAAGCGUGGGGAGCAAACA